UACGUAGGGUCCGAGCGUUGUCCGGAAUUAUUGGGCGUAAAGAGCUCGUAGGCGGUCUGUUGCGUCGGCUGUGAAAACCCGGGGCUCAACUCCGGGCCUGCAGUCGAUACGGGCAGACUAGAGUUCGGUAGGGGAGACUGGAAUUCCUGGUGUAGCGGUGAAAUGCGCAGAUAUCAGGAGGAACACCUAUUGCGAAGGCAGCUCGCUGGGACGUAACUGACGCUGAGACGCGAAAGCGUGGGGAGCAAACAGG
rnacentral:rRNA from 1 species